rnacentral:rRNA from 1 species
UCUGCCUAGUAGUGGGGGAUAACUUGCCGAAAGGUAAGCUAAUACCGCAUACGUCCUAUGGGAGAAAGCAGGGGACUCUUCGGAACCUUGCGCUAUUAGAUGAGCCUAGGUCGGAUUAGUUAGUUGGUGAGGUAAUGGCUCACCAAGACCGCGAUCCGUAACUGGUCUGAGAGGAUGAUCAGUCACACUGGAACUGAGACACGGUCCAGACUCCCACGGGAGGCAGCAGUGGGGAAUAUUGGACAAUGGGCGGAAGCCUGAUCCAGCCAUGCCGCGUGUGUGAAGAAGGCCUUCGGGUUGUAAAGCACUUUAAUUUGGGAGGAAGGGCUUACGGUUAAUACCCGCUAAGUUUUGACGUUACCAAAAGAAUAAGCACCGGCUAACUUCGUGCCAGCAGCCGCGGUAAUACGAAGGGUGCGAGCGUUAAUAGGAAUUACUGGGCGUAAAGCGCGCGUAGGUGGUUCGUUAAGUUAGGAGUGAAAGCCCCGGGCUCAACCUGGGAAUUGCUUCUAAAACUGGCGAGCUAGAGUACGGUAGAGGGUGGUGGAAUUUCCUGUGUAGCGGUGAAAUGCGUAGAUAUAGGAAGGAACAUCAGUGGCGAAGGCGACCACCUG